GGCGGUUCUCGGGUGAUGCACCCUGGAAUCAGGCUCUCUCCUCUCUGGUUCUGGGUGCAUCACCUGAGAACUGCA
rfam:Myotis davidii contig97161, whole genome shotgun sequence.